UACGAAGGGGGCUAGCGUUGCUCGGAAUCACUGGGCGUAAAGGGUGCGUAGGCGGGUCUUUAAGUCAGGGGUGAAAUCCUGGAGCUCAACUCCAGAACUGCCUUUGAUACUGAAGAUCUUGAGUUCGGGAGAGGUGAGUGGAACUGCGAGUGUAGAGGUGAAAUUCGUAGAUAUUCGGCGGAACACCGGUGGCGAAGGCGACUCACUGGCCCGAUACUGACGCUGAGGCGCGAAAGCGUGGGGAGCAAACAGG
rnacentral:rRNA from 1 species